rnacentral:lncRNA from 1 species
AUAUAUGCAUGACAUGUUUAAUACUACCGUUAAUGCUAUUGUAUUUAGAUUUGACUUUGUAUUUUUUUUCAACUAGUUUUAUUUAUUUACUUAGAACAUUUUUUGACAAAGUUUCCUGUAACCAUUUCUACUCUCAAUUGUCCUGCUUAACCUACCUAGCUUGGUGAAGUCUAACUAUUAUGGUAAAGCAUGCAAUAUGCUUUUUGCCUUGGCUUGUAUAGGCUACGGAAAAUAUUAAAAAAAGAGUAUUUUUUCUAACUAUUGUACAAAAAUGUAAUGUGCCAGGACACCAGAAACAAUGUAUUUUUUUUUAAUUUUUUUUUAUUUUUUUAAGAGGAUUU